rnacentral:rRNA from 1 species
GUUCUCUCAAUGAAUUGAAGCCCCAGUGAACGGCGGCCGUAACUAUAACGGUCCUAAGGUAGCGAAAUUCCUUGUCAGGUAAGUUCUGACCCGCACGAAAGGCGUAACGAUUUGGGCGCUGUCUCGGCAGCAGACUCGGUGAAAUCUUAGUACCUGUGAAAAUGCAGGUUACCCGCAACUAGACGGAAAGACCCCAUGGAGCUUUACUGUAGCCUGAUAUUGAAUUUUGAUCAAAGAUGUACAGGAUAGGUGGGAGGCGAAGAAGAUUGCACGCCAGUGUAGUCAGAGCCGCUGUUGGGAUACCACUCUUGUUUGAUUGAAGUUCUAACCUGCACCCAUGAACUGGGUGAGGGACCGUGUCAGGUGGGCAGUUUGACUGGGGCGGUCGCCUCCUAAAGAGUAACGGAGGCGCCCAAAGGUACGCUCAGAUUGGAUGGAAAUCAAUCGACGAGUGCAAAUGCAGAAGCGUGCUUGACUGUGAGACAAACAAGUCGAACAGGGACGAAAGUCGGGAUUAGUGAUCCGGCGGUGCCGAAUGGAAGGGCCGUCGCUCAACGGAUAAAAGCUACCCUGGGGAUAACAGGCUGAUCUCGCCCAAGAGUUCACAUCGACGGCGAGGUUUGGCACCUCGAUGUCGGCUCAUCGCAUCCUGGAGCUGAAUUCGGUUCCAAGGGUUGGGCUGUCCGCCCAUUAAAGCGGUACGCGAGCUGGGUUCAGAACGUCGUGAGACAGUUCGGUCCCUAUCUGUUGUGGGCGUUGGAGAUCUGAGGAGAGCUGUCCUUAGUACGAGAGGACCGGGAUGGACCUACCGCUGGUGCACCAGUUGUUCCGCCAGGAGCAUAGCUGGGUAGCUAAGUAGGGAAGGGAUAAGCGCUGAAAGCAUCUAAGCGCGAAGCCUACUCCAAGAUGAGAUCUCCCAUUCGUAUAACGAAGUAAGACCCCUUGAAGACGACGAGGUGGAUAGGUCAGAGAUGGAAGUGUAGCGAUACAUGGAGUUGACUGAUACUAAUAGGUCGAGGACUUAAUCAC